GUGGUCACCAAGCUAGAGUGUGAGAGGAGUGCUCUGGAAACGCAACUCGCUAAAGUCAAGUUGGAGGCAGGCACUCUAAGCUCCACCUUGCAGAAGCAGGAGGAAGAGAACAGGAGGCUCAUGGGAAAGCUGGUUGCCAUGGAGCACCAGCAGAAUGCUCAGCAGCAGGUGGAGCAGAUGCUGAAGGAGCUGACGGACAGUAAGAACAACCUGACCUAUGAGAAAGGGAAG